rnacentral:tRNA from 1 species
CUAGCCAAAGAGGGAACUCUCCCUCCUUAAUGA